rnacentral:rRNA from 1 species
UACAGAGGUUGCAAGCGUUGUUCGGAUUCAUUGGGCGUAAAGGGUGUGUAGGCGGCGCCGUAAGUCGGGUGUGAAAUUUCGGAGCUUAACUCCGAAACUGCAUUCGAUACUGCGGUGCUUGAGGACUGGAGAGGAGACUGGAAUUCAUGGUGUAGCAGUGAAAUGCGUAGAGAUGUGGAGGAACACCAGUGGCGAAGGCGACUCUUUGGCCUGUAACUGACGCUGAGGCGCGAAAGCGUGGGGAGCAAACAGG